CCUGGGAUGAUAAUGACAGUACCAGGUAAAGAAACCCCGGCUAACUCCGUGCCAGCAGCCGCGGUAAUACGGAGGGGGUUAGCGUUGUUCGGAAUUACUGGGCGUAAAGCGCACGUAGGCGGACCAUCAAGUUGGGGGUGAAAUCCCGGGGCUCAACCCCGGAACUGCCUCCAAAACUGGUGGUCUGGAGUUCGAGAGAGGUGAGUGGAAUUCCGAGUGUAGAGGUGAAAUUCGUAGAUAUUCGGAGGAACAUCAGUGGCGAAGGCGGCUCACUGGCUCGAUACUGACGCUGAGGUGCGAAAGUGUGGGGAGCAAACAGGAUUAGAUACCCUGGUAGUCCACACCGUAAACGAUGAAUGCCAGUCGUCGGGUAGCAUGCUAUUCGGUGACACACCUAACGGAUUAAGCAUUCCGCCUGGGGAGUACGGUCGCAAGAUUAAAACUCA
rnacentral:rRNA from 1 species